UGCCAGCCGCCGCGGUAAUACGAAGGGACCUAGCGUAGUUCGGAAUUACUGGGCUUAAAGAGUUCGUAGGUGGUUGAAAAAGUUAGUGGUGAAAUCCCAGAGCUUAACUCUGGAACUGCCAUUAAAACUUUUCAGCUAGAGUAUGAUAGAGGAAAGCAGAAUUUCUAGUGUAGAGGUGAAAUUCGUAGAUAUUAGAAGGAAUACCAGGAGCGAAAGCGACUAUCUGGAACAAUACUGACACUGAGGGACGAAAGCAUGGGUAGCAAACAGGAUUAGAUA
rnacentral:rRNA from 1 species